CCAAAGGCAGAGAAGGGUGCAUCCAUCCAGAACUGAAAUGGAGGCUUCUCCUCCUUUAGGACUAUUAUUAUCCCAAAAGAACAUAUGUCAUCAAAAGUGCUCAUGCCGGACCCAUAACAUGUGGGAAGCCAAUACUCAGAUCAGCCAUUCCUUCUCUGUGUACGGUCCACUUCCAAAAGACUCGGAAAAAUGUUAACAGGGCAUUGAAGAAGGCAAACCUUAAUGUUUCCUCUUCGAGUAAGCUUGCUCCUAUGUUUCAUGUCAUAGUGGCAGAAUAUGUACAUCAAAUACAAGCCAAAAGAAGAGCUGCCUCGAGGGGAAUCACUAGUAAAGCUACUAUCAAGGAAGAAUGUCCUAGCUGAACCUUUCUUAACUGCUGCACAUGUCACCAAUGCUAAAGAAAUCAAAGGUAUCGUAAGUUGAUGCCCGGUAAUACAGUCCAAGUUAAAGUGCAAUUUUCGACAUUGAUAUCAGUGACACGAGAAUCGUAGGCAUCCGUGAAGUAGCUGAGCUGCUACUUGUAAAUGAUAGUAACAACCAAUGUACUUCAGCCAAUGACCAAUGUUGCAUGCAUGCCUUCUCAGUCAGCUUCAUAUGUAUGCCGGAAGUGGUGCCUCAAAGCCUUAUUAACUUAACUUUAGAUUCAUCCAGAUAGUUACAGCCUUUGUAGUAUACUUCUGUGGUUCCUUGGAAAGACUUAUUAAAAACCUUUUGCAAGUUGUAUGUAAGACUAAAACAAGGCUUGUAUAUCUUUUAACCAAUUCAAAUAGUUUAAACAUGAGUAGGACACUCCUAAUCGCUGCCCUAUGUUAAUCAAUCUAAAAGUCAGCUUCCAAAA